CAAGACUCUUUAUACUCCAUUAUAUAAAGUAAUAGAGUUUUUUUUCUUUUUUUGUUACAUGCACAUGAAAAUAAAAAUGACCAAGAUUCUCAAAUUUUUUUAUGCUAUGAUCAUUUUACUUUCUCUAUUUCUUGCUGCAAUUGACGCAGACGUUGUUAAUUGCACUUCUGUCCUCCAGUGUUUUACUACUUAUUGUUACCUUCAUGGAACAAUGUUAUGCUUAAACGGUCAAUGUUUAUGCGUUUAAUAGUUAAGUCGAAAAUAAUUCUAUAUUUUCUAAUAUUAUAAUUUUGUUUGCAUAUCGUAGUGAAUGUUGUUGUUACUCAUGUGAAUUCUCUCACACUUUUAGUUAUAUUUCUCUAAACUUUUAAUCUCUUUGUCCGAACAAAUAGAACAACACGAGAGAAAUGUUUUAGUCACAAAUAGUUGUUCUAUAUAUUUUCCAAUAUAAUUAAAUAA